UACAGAGGUCUCGAGCGUUAGGCGGGAUCACUGGGCUUAAAGCGUGUGUAGGCGGAUCGUUAAGUGCCUUGUGAAAUCCCACGGCUUAACCGUGGAACUGCUUGGCAUACUGGCGGUCUUGAGCAACCUAGGGGCGAGCGGAACAAAUGGUGGAGCGGUGAAAUGCGUAGAUAUCAUUUGGAACGCCAAUGGUGAAAACAGCUCGCUGGGGGUUUGCUGACGCUGAGACACGAAAGCCAGGGGAGCAAACGGG
rnacentral:rRNA from 1 species